GGAUAUUUGAACAUGGUUUGUAUCCUUUAAACCUCAUAGUGAAACUUGAUUGCAGUGAUGGAAAGAGAUGAUUAGCUCAACUAAGAGGAAUUUGUUCAAUUAAGAGGAAUUUGUGUCUUUCUCAUGGGGUUUUCUGCCAUGUGGUGAUGUACACUAAGGAAGCAUUCACCAGAUGUUACUACCUUGCCCUUGGACCUCCCAG
rnacentral:lncRNA from 1 species